CGAGGGACCAGGCAGUCUCUCCCACGCGUCCACCCCCAAAUUCCCAUUAUAAAGCCUGCAGGCCCCCGGGAAGGGAGGAUGUCAGCUGCAGGCUUUGCCAGCCAUGCGCCCCGGCCUCCCAACCCAGCCGAUGGCCCCUGGUGGGUGGAGGUCACCCCUGCAAGGCGCAGGCGAUGUGAUCAGGGCCGACGGCCGUCCUCUCUCCCACUUGCUCGUGCGGGCCACCAACUUAAUCAAUCUUGAACAAUUGGCCACAGGCUUGUUUCCUUAAAAGUGAUGUUGCCUCUAAUUAUCUCCGACAGGACGUGAUGCGGGCUCCUGCUUCUCCCUUCUCAGCUCAUCAGAGCACGUGCGAGCGCCGCAGCUGAGAUAAUUGAAUAUCUUCUUUAAACCAACAGGCUGGAAGGAGGUGGUCGGGCCUCCCCUGGGCCGAGCAGGGGUUCCACGAGGCCAGCCCCCCCCCCCCGGGCCUCCACCAAGGAAGGGCAGCGUCUGUGUCCCUGGAAGUCUCGGCUCACCCAAACGUCACCAGGUUAUCCUUAUGCAGAGAAACUCAGAGUUCGAGAGGCAGAAGUUGUGACCAGAAAGCAGCAAGGGCCCCAGGAAGUCAUUUGGGCUUUUCAAGUGGCAAAACUGAGACCCCGAGCAGGGUAAGAACUUGCCCAAGGUCACACCGGGAGAUGGUGGUAAAUUUAGUAGAAACCCAAGGCGUCAUGAAAAUUGUCAUAAUGAAGAAGAUGCGUUUAUUUAUUUAUUUAUUUAUUUAUUUAUUAUUUAUUUAUUAUUUAUUUAUUUAUUUAUUUAUUUAUUUAUUUAUUUAUUUACUGCUUAUUUACUUUUGAGAAGCAGAGAGAGACAGAACACAAGCAGGGGAGGGGCAGAGAGAGAGGGAGACACAGAAUCUGAAGGAGGCUCCAGGCUCCGAGCUGUCAGCACAGAGCCGAUGCGGGGCUGGAACUCACGAACUUCGAGAUCAUGACCGGAGCUGAACUGGACGCUUAACCCACUGAGCCACCCAGGCGCCCCUCAGUUUUUUUUAAAUCUUUAUUUAUGUUUGAGAGAGAGAGAGGGAGAGAGAGUCAGAGUGGGGGAGGAACAGAGGGAGAGGGCGACACAGAAUCACAGAGCCCGACGUGGGGCUCGAGCUCGCGAACCACGAGAUCAUGACCUCAGUUGAAGUCGGAUGCUCAACAGACUGAUCCACCCAGGCGCCCCAAGAAGAUGUGUUUAUUGAGCACUUACUAUGUGUCUCGCGUGCCCCUUGCACGGUUUCCUUUAUCCCUUGCCACAGCCUUGCGAAUGAAGUUAGUCUGAGUACCCCAUUUCUCAGAUGAGAAAACAGAGUCUCCGAGGGCCUGAGUGGCAUUCAGACUGCAAGUGUGGAGCCGGGAUGGGAACCCCGGCGUGUCCAGUGCAGGGGCGGCAUUCAUAUACUCUUGGCUCUCUAGCAGGGGCUUGGAGGUACGGGGUGAGGCUGGGACCCUGUCUGCCAUUCUACAGGAAAGCUGUGCUUCCUGCAGGUUAAUAUAUUGG
rnacentral:lncRNA from 1 species